rnacentral:rRNA from 1 species
UCGUACCUUUUGCAUCAUGAUUUAGCCAGUAUUUUUAAGCAAAGAGACCUUCAGUUUAAAACCCCGAAACCAAGUGAGCUACCCCGAGACAGCCUAAUGGGCCAACCCGUCUCUGUGGCAAAAGAGUGGGAAGAGCUCCGGGUAGAGGUGACAGACCUACCGAACUUGGUGAUAGCUGGUUGCCUAAGAAAUGAAUAGAAGUUCAGCCUCGUUUUCCUCCAAUCAAACAAGUAAUACUAAAUAGAAAUAAGAGAAAAACACGAGAGUUAGUUAAAGGGGGUACAGCUCCUUUAACCAAGGAUACAACCUUACCAGGAGGAUAAGGAUCACAUUUUACAAAACUAGCCGUUUUAGUGGGCCUAAAAGCAGCCAUCUGAACAGAAAGCGUUAAAGCUCAAACGGCCAAACGUUUAUUAUACUGAUAAACAAUCCUAUUCCCCUAAAACUAUUAGGCCGCCCCAUGCCAACAUGGGAGAGACCAUGCUAAAAUGAGUAACAAGAAGGCACACCCUCUCCAAGCACAAGUGUAAACCAGAUCGGACAAACCACUGGUAAUUAACGAACCCAAAAAAAGAGGGCAAUGUGAACAACAAAAAAAACAAGAAAGACCCACAAAACAAAAUCGUUAAACCCACACUGGAGUGCCAUGCGGAAAGACUAAAAGAAAAGGAAGGAACUCGGCAAACACAAGCCUCGCCUGUUUACCAAAAACAUCGCCUCCUGCAAACCCCAAAGUAUAGGAGGUCCAGCCUGCCCAGUGACUACGGGUUCAACGGCCGCGGUAUUUUGACCGUGCAAAGGUAGCGCAAUCACUUGUCUUUUAAAUGAAGACCUGUAUGAAUGGCCAAACGAGGGCUUAACUGUCUCCCUUUUCCAGUCAGUGAAAUUGAUCUGCCCGUGCAGAAGCGGGCAUAUAUAUACAAGACGAGAAGACCCUUUGGAGCUUAAGGUACAAACCCACAUGUUAAACAACUUAAAAGCAUAAACCUAAUGGAAAUGGAGUUUUACCUUCGGUUGGGGCGACCACGGAGAAAAAAAGAUCCUCCGAGCGGACUGGGACCAAACCUAAAACCAAGAAAGACAUUUCUAAGUCACAGAAAAUCUGACCAACUAUGAUCCGGCUACCAAAGCCGAUCAACGAACCAAGUUACCCUAGGGAUAACAGCGCAAUCCUCUCCCAGAGUCCAAUCGACGAGAGGGUUUACGACCUCGAUGUUGGAUCAGGA